AGUGAACGCUGGCGGUAGGCCUAACACAUGCAAGUCGAGCGGCAGCACAGUAAGAGCUUGCUCUUCCGGGGGGCGAGUGGCGGACGGGUGAGGAAUACAUCGGAAUCUACUUUUUCGUGGGGGAUAACGUAGGGAAACUUACGCUAAUACCGCAUACGACCUACGGGUGAAAGCAGGGGAUCUUCGGACCUUGGGCGAUUGAAUGAGCCGAUGUCGGAUUAGCUAGUUGGCGGGGUAAAGGCCCACCAAGGCGACGAUCCGUAGCUGGUCUGAGAGGAUGAUCAGCCACACUAGAACUGAGACACGGUCCAGACUCCUACGGGAGGGAGCAGUGGGGAAUAUUGGACAAUGGGCGCAAGCCUGAUCCAGCCAUACCGCGUGGGUGAAGAAGGCCUUCGGGUUGUAAAGCCCUUUUGUUGGGAAAGAAAAGCAGCAGGUUAAUACCCCGCUGUUCUGACGGUACCCAAAGAAUAAGCACCGGCUAACUUCGUG
rnacentral:rRNA from 1 species